GCCUUAGUAGCGGCGAGUGAAGCGGCAAAAGCUCAAAUUUGAAAUCUGGCACUUUCAGUGUCCGAGUUGUAAUUUGAAGAAGGUAUCUUUGGGUCUGGCUCUUGUCUAUGUUUCUUGGAACAGAACGUCACAGAGGGUGAGAAUCCCGUGCGAUGAGAUGUCCCAGACCUAUGUAAAGUUCCUUCGAAGAGUCGAGUUGUUUGGGAAUGCAGCUCUAAGUGGGUGGUAAAUUCCAUCUAAAGCUAAAUAUUGGCGAGAGACCGAUAGCGAACAAGUACAGUGAUGGAAAGAUGAAAAGAACUUUGAAAAGAGAGUGAAAAAGUACGUGAAAUUGUUGAAAGGGAAGGGCUUGAGAUCAGACUUGGUAUUUUGUAUGUUACUCUCUCGGGGGUGGCCUCUACAGUUUACCGGGCCAGCAUCAGUUUGAGCGGUAGGAUAAGUGCAAAGAAAUGUGGCACUGCUUCGGUAGUGUGUUAUAGUCUUUGUCGAUACUGCCAGCUUAGACUGAGGACUGCGGCUUCGGCCUAGGAUGUUGGCAUAAUGAUCUUAAGUCGCCCGUCU
rnacentral:rRNA from 1 species